rnacentral:rRNA from 1 species
UACGGGGGGUGCAAGCGUUGUUCGGAUUUACUGGGCGUAAAGGGCUCGUAGGCGGCCAACUAAGUCGGAUGUGAAAUCCCCAGGCUUAACUUGGGAACUGCAUCCGAUACUGGAUGGCUUGAAUCCGGGAGAGGGAUGCAGAAUUCCAGGUGUAGCGGUGAAAUGCGUAGAUAUCUGGAGGAAUACCGGUGGCGAAGGCGGCAUCCUGGACCGGCAUUGACGCUAAGGCGCGAAAGCGUGGGGAGCGAACAGG